AUUGAACGCUGGCGGCAGGCCUAACACAUGCAAGUCGAGCGGAUGAAGGGAGCUUGCUCCUGGAUUCAGCGGCGGACGGGUGAGUAAUGCCUAGGAAUCUGCCUGGUAGUGGGGGAUAACGUCCGGAAACGGGCGCUAAUACCGCAUACGUCCUGAGGGAGAAAGUGGGGGAUCUUCGGACCUCACGCUAUCAGAUGAGCCUAGGUCGGAUUAGCUAGUUGGUGGGGUAAAGGCCUACCAAGGCGACGAUCCGUAACUGGUCUGAGAGGAUGAUCAGUCACACUGGAACUGAGACACGGUCCAGACUCCUACGGUAGGCAGCAGUGGGGAAUAUUGGACAAUGGACGAAAGCCUGAUCCAGCCAUGCCGCGUGUGUGAAGAAGGUCUUCGGAUUGUAAAGCACUUUAAGUUGGUAUGAAGAGCAGUAAGUUAAUACCUUGCUGUUUUGACGUUACCAACAGAAUAAGCACCGGCUAACUUCGUG
rnacentral:rRNA from 1 species